rnacentral:tRNA from 1 species
UAGAGUGUGGUGUAAUAAGGAAGCACGGAGAUUUUUGAGUUCUCAGGUGAAGGUUCAAGUCCUGCGGCUCUAG